rnacentral:lncRNA from 1 species
AUAUGUGUUCAAGCAGAGUUCAGUAAGGCGGUUAAUGCCGCUAUUACGUUCGGUUUUCGAUCGUAAACCAAGGGCGAAUAUGAGACAAGCAUUCCAGGAUAUACAAACACACUGUUACACAUGAUGGAUUUAUGGAGGAACACAUCAAAUAAUCCAGGAGCUGUGAAUUAUAAAUAUGGAUGACUGCAAAAGCAAAGAAGAAGAUAAUGAAACAAACUGAAAAAGUGUACACGUUUCCAGAAUUAUUAAUAAAAUUGUUGAUUACAA